rnacentral:rRNA from 1 species
ACAGAGCCCGUGAAUCCGGGCGCGCGGAAUUCAGGACCGACGCGGCGGCGGCGGGGGCGUUCGCGCGCCUCCCCCCGUCGCGUCGAUUCGAUAUUUCCGUCGCCGAUCCUCUCAACCGAGGAUGUCGGACGUCGCGACCCGUUCGCUCAGAUCGAUGCUGAGGGGCGCGCCUCGAGUUCGUAUGCGCGACGGCCGCGAGGCGGUCGCGCGACGACGGCGCGCUUCCCGUAAUGUUUUCGACGCGGACGGUAGCUUUGCGCGCGGGUAAUCGAAGCGGUCCUCGUGCGCGCGCUCGUCUACGGACGGGCGCGCGGGCGCUCGCUUCGACGCCGGUCAGCGACGAAUCUUCGGGCCUCUUUCCGACCCGUCUUGAAACACGGACCAAGGAGUCUAGCGUGCGCGCGAGUCGCGGGGUAUCCGAGCGGUCGGCGGUCGUCGUUUCGGCGGCGGCCGUCCACGCCGCUCGUCACGAUACGAAACCCGUGUACGUACGUUGUGCGAAGGCGUAAUGAAAGUGAAAGGCGGCGCUUCGCGCGUCGCCGGGGGAAGACGGUGCGUCCGAGUACACGUUUCGCGAUCGCGUACGGUAUCGCGACCGGCCACCCGCAUUCCCAGGGCGUCCCGCCGGUACGGCGGCGGUCGCCGGGGCGCGUUCGCGCGCGUCUCGGUCCGCCGACGAACCGGGGCGCACCUACAGCGUGCACGCUGGUACCCGAAAGAUGGUGAACUAUGCCCGGCCAGGAU